UACAGAGGUGCCAAGCGUUAGGCGGAAUCACUGGGCUUAAAGCGCGUGUAGGCGGGUCGUUAAGUGUCCGAGUGAAAUCCCACGGCUCAACCGUGGAACUGCCGGGCAUACUGGCGAUCUUGAGGCAUUCAGGGGCGAGCGGAACAAAUGGUGGAGCGGUGAAAUGCGUAGAUAUCGGGAGGAACAUCUGUGGCGAAGGCGGCCAUCUGGACCAGCACCGACGUCAGGCACGAAAGCCGUGGGGAGCAAACGGG
rnacentral:rRNA from 1 species